CUCUUGGAGACUUAUUUUGAGCAGGGUUGGAGCCGACUUUUUUCGACUUCUUGUGAUUAUUGGGAGCAUAGUACUAGAGCCAUCUACAGGAGAGGCUAGGGAUCGUGGCAA